rnacentral:lncRNA from 1 species
GAGAGUCACUGUUACCACAGUUAUGUCACCCAUUAGCCAUAAAUUGCUGUUUGUAUCAAAGCGCAUGCUGCUUUUCUUGCACUGUUUCCCUUUCGCAGGAACAUGUUGGUGUUUGCUAGUGAAUUGGCCAGCUCUGCUUGCUGUGUGGCAUUGUUCUCUUCGAAGGCUGCUUUGCAGUUUGUAUUUACACUACAGAUUGGUGAAUUUGCCAAUGUCCUCACUGUGAUUAUGUGUAUAUUGCUGUUUAAAUUUUGUAUAUGUGUAUAAAAGGAAAAAUCUUCACCUAGAGAUUAUUUCUGAAAAAUGUAUUGUAAAAAUAAUUUUGUGGCAUUUCUAGUCCCUUUUUUGAAUGAACCAAUUAUACUUUAUUUGGUCUCCUAUGUAGCAUAUCAGAAAACACGACAAAACUGUUACCAUGAACAAACAUUGCCAGAAUUAACCUUACUGUUUAAGAGGCCAACUUCUGGAAGGAGUGGUGGCUGGCCUAGGCAGAUUUGGAUCUGUGAAGAAUUGAUUCAUUUUCAAAAUCAUUCCAUAAAGUGAAAAAAUUACACAGUUCUUUAAAUUUGAUCAACUGUAGCUUUAUUUAAAGCAAAUGUAAAUCAUAGAUGGAGUUAUUUUAAACAUUAUGUUAGAAUAUAGAUUUUUUUUUAAAAUGCUAAUAAGCACAGUUAAUUCUAAAAUGAUAGGAUUGUUACAAGAGGGAGAUGUUACAGUUAAUCCACAAUCAACAUGUUGAUGGUAGGGAAAAAACUGUGUAAAAACUAUUGUAUUAUGUAUGAUAAGAAAGUAAGUAUUCUAAAGGGAUAAUCUUGCAUAUUAAGAAAACUCCAAAUAAUAUUUAAAUUGCCUUGAAAAGUAAACCUCUGUGACCGCUGAGUGGCAGAGUGCUUACCCUUGGUUUUCUUGAUUUUAUAUAGUUAUUUCUAAGGGGAGAAAAAGGGGUCAGAGUAAUACAAUACAUUUUCUUAAAAACCUCUCUUAAGUUGCACAAAAUUGAACAAUCAUCAAGCACUUAUUUACUGGCUACUGUUGAAUAAAUUAGGGUGCCUUCAUCUGGGUUUUCUUUAG